rnacentral:rRNA from 1 species
GAUGAACGCUGGCGGCGUGCCUAAUACAUGCAAGUCGAGCGAACGGACGAGAAGCUUGCUUUUCUGAUGUUAGCGGCGGACGGGUGAGUAACACGUGGAUAACCUACCUAUAAGACUGGGAUAACUUCGGGAAACCGGAGCUAAUACCGGAUAAUAUUUUGAACCGCAUGGUUCAAAAGUGAAAGACGGUCUUGCUGUCACUUAUAGAUGGAUCCGCGCUGCAUUAGCUAGUUGGUAAGGUAACGGCUUACCAAGGCAACGAUGCAUAGCCGACCUGAGAGGGUGAUCGGCCACACUGGAACUGAGACACGGUCCAGACUCCUACGGGAGGCAGCAGUAGGGAAUCUUCCGCAAUGGGCGAAAGCCUGACGGAGCAACGCCGCGUGAGUGAUGAAGGCCUUCGGAUCGUAAAACUCUGUUAUUAGGGAAGAACAUAUGUGUAAGUAACUGUGCACAUCUUGACGAUACCUAAUCAGAAAGCCACGGCUAACUACGUG